GAAAACUUUAAAAGAUAUUCAUAUGCCAGUUCCAAUUAGAGAACAUUGGGAGAAGAUUGCACAAAAACAUUUUGACCUGGCUCAUUAGAUGGUAAGCACUUUAUAUCAAAAGUUAGAAAAACCAAUAUCAAACACCUUAAAAAACUAUGAAACCUUAUUCUAUGAAAAAUACCAGUCCAG